GCUCUGGUUUGGAGCAGCUCUUAGAGACGGAGAGAGGUUCCCAGGGGAGAACGGAGCGGGACGCACCGUUUGUGGAAGGAAACAGUGCCGUAGGGAGGAACAAGACUAGAGAAACUGAAGAAGGGGAUUUUGCCUGGCUUGGAAUUGUUGGACUUUCGAGAGGUGGCUUUUUUGCCUGGAAAUGUCAAUGGCAAGAUGCCUCUACUGAGAGAAGCUCUAGAGAUCAGCUCUGUGCUGGCUGGUGCAGAGUUUAGUUCUGGUUUACAUCGGGUUGUGCUUUGAGAAGAUGUUCAUGUGAGAUAACACUGUAUCUUUCCUCCCUUUACUUCAUGUUCUGUUUCUCUUAAAUAUUUUCCUUGGAGUGAAAUGAUAAAUAUUUAAGAAAUCAGUUGCACUUGGAGACUUCUGAGCUUUCUCUGUUCUGAGAAGAUGCUGAUGCCAAGCAGUACUAGGCUCUGUUUACAAAACAAACCACGACCACAACAAAGACUCUGAAAGAAAAAAAGGUGAGGAAAGGAAGAGUGAGAGACAAUGUAUUUCUGUUCCUGAAAGCUGCUUUGCAUUUCCCUAGCACCUUUCCUCCCAGUGUUUCAGGGCACAUCACAAGCAUUCGUCAUGGCUCAGGCUGGAUUUGGAAGAGGAGUGAGGCAAUUCCUGUCACCCUUUGGAGAAUGAGUCUCCGGGAUAUCUAUAACCCGGGAGAAAGGCAAGUCCUUCCUGCACUGGGGUUGCUGGUCACUGCUGUAUGUUCAAAGAGCCUGUUUUAUGGGGUGCUGAACUGGGGCUCCUGGAUAAAUCCUGCAGAGAAUCUUUACGAAGCUAAACCAGGAAGGGUUUUGCCAUCAAGAAAAGAGCAUCAGUACAACUAGUACUGAUUUCAUUAACUUCAGUUUUCAAGUAAUCUUCAUUUCAGCUGGAAAAGCAAGGAAUUCAGUUAGGGCUGGGAUAUCAAGUGUGAAAUCUUGCCUCUGUUGAAGGCAGUAGGAGCAUUGCUAUUGACAGUUGGAGCCAGGCUCUUUCCCAGAAGUAGAUAUUAAUGAUAAGAGCAAGAGAUUUCAUCCAAGUCACUUCAGUAGCAAAUCUGGCAUGUUUGAGAGGACUCUGCAGGAGGGGAGACAAAGGCUCUGUCAUUACCAAUAUCCCUACUCAUGUUUUCAGAGAAUAAAUAUAUCUUUUCCUGGCAAUGAGUGUAUUGACUCUGUCUGGCUCAUUGCUCAACUGGUCACUCUGUGACAGGCUGUGCUCCCUUCUCCAGUGUUUUGUAUUCAGACAUCUCAGCUCAUAUUCAUCGGCUAUAGGAGAGGGAUUACUUCCUGCAGUAUUUUAUGGCUAGAAUAUUUUGUAUUUUGAAGUAUGAGUAUCUCUCUGACUCAUGUAGGACAAACCCACCAUAUCUCUGUUAUUAAAGCUGCUCCUCCUUGGGAAAGGAAAGGGCGUGGUGUGUACAACAUGAGAGAUAUCACUGUGUGACUACCUGGCUCCUUUCUGUACCUUCUACGGGGACAAGGCAUGAGCAUUUGUCACUGAUGAUGCUGCAGCUUGUUGCUGUUGGGUGAUGUUUUCCAGAAGGAGUGAUAAACAGGAAGAUCUCUGAAUGAUGUGGUCAUACCAGGUGUGAGAUGGAUAUGCAUUCUGUGUGGUCAGCAGCAGAGAAUCAAAGAAUAUCCUGAGCUGGGAAGGACCCACGAGG